UUGAAAAGAAAGGCGAGAGAUUGUUUUGACAGGGUUGAUCCAUGAAAAGAAAGAUGGGGGAGAGAAACAAGAAAGAAAAAGCUGGGAAGAAAUCAAGAAUUGAGGAUUGGCCACUCAUUAAUCCCAAAUCUAAUCUCAAAGUUACUCACCUCAAAGAUUCACAUCUCUUCACUGUGCCGAAUUUCUUGACUUCUGCUGAAUCGAAAGCGUUUGUAGCAUUUGCCGAGUCAAUAGGUUUUGUGCACCAAGGCAGCCUUGGACCUACCAAAGGCGAAGCUUUUAGAGACAAUGAUAGGAUUUCUGUUAAUGAUCCUGUUCUUGCAGAUACUAUAUGGAAAUCUGGACUUGACAAAAUUUUCUCUGAUUUCAAGAUUCGAGGCAAAUUGGCUGUUGGCUUGAAUCCUAAUAUUAGGUUUUAUAGGUAUAGUGUUGGUCAGAGGUUUGGACGUCACAUCGAUGAAAGUGCUGAUCUUGGAGAUGGGAAGCGCACACAUUAUACAUUACUAAUAUAUCUUAGUGGUGGUAGUCACUCUAAAUCAAAACCUAAAAAGGAGACAAGCAACAAUCAAGAUUCUUCCAUGGAGCCUCUAGUUGGAGGAGAAACAGUCUUCUACGGUCCAAGAAAUAAUCUUGUUGCUGAGGUUGCACCUUCUGAAGGGAUGGCUCUGCUUCACAUUCAUGGGGCAAUGUGUAUGCUGCAUGAAGCACGGAAUGUGACAAAGGGUAUAAAGUAUGUCUUACGGUCAGACGUAGCUUUCGCCUGAUGUGUCGCAUCAUCUUUUGGUAUUGACUGGAAUUUAAUCAUAGCUGUUCAAGACUAUACUGAGCCACGACAAUCACUUCUGCUGCUGCGGCUCUGCUUUGAUGUGCCAUAUUUAUCGAAUCUCCGAUAUGAUGAUUACAAGUUUAAAAUUUUAAUAUUUCACAUGAUCAGAUGGACCAUAAUUCUGUUAUGUAAUGGUUAUUUAAACUUCCAUUUGGUUUCUGAGUAUAACUGGUCUGCAUUGCAGAUCUCAUUGUAGUCUUCGGUCUUUUAUUAUUAAGCACAGCAAUUGCUAUAUCUGAACUGCUAGCCACCCGAAACAAGCUACCAUGUUCAAAUGCAUUGUCUCUCCUCCCUCCCCCUCUCUAUGCCAAUAUCUUAUCUUGUGUUUAGGACUUAAUUAGUUGGCCGAACCUUCUUUUUUUUUUUUUUAGCUCUUCAUACUUGGUAGAUAGGUGGUAACCUUUGCCAUGCAUGUUUACACCCCAGGCCCCAGCUACUUAAAUUUAAUUUGGUGGAUAAUUUUGCGCAACAUUGUGGACACAUGUUCCAUUAGCUGAUCCAGACCAAAUUAUGUCUAUCUAAUUAUCCACAUCAUAGAAAUUUUCAAUUUUCCUUUGGUACAAGUUACAACAAUCCCGAUUUUGUAACUUGUAAGGUUUGCUGGUUCAGCAUCCUCUAAUUUUGUGAGGCUAUCAGUUUUGUUUAACAGUAUUUUGUCUCAAUUGUUACUUAAUGAGUUGAUGGAGCUAAAUAUUGAAUGAUCUGUUCAAACAUUAUUGACAUGAUUUGCUCAAGCACUUCCAGCUUUGGCAACAAAAAGUUAAUGAGAAGUAAUAAGAAGGUAACCUGUCAUUAUUAGCAUGCUUAAUCAGUGUCUUACAUUCCCAUGUCUGCUUAUUAUUCAGCUUACAGUUUUCUCAAAUCUCAUUUGGGAGGUGAGAAAAAAAUUAUCAUUAUUUUGAUUGUUGCAGAUCAUCUUGUAAAUAUACUGUAGUACUCUGAUUGUAUUCUCUUUAUUCAUUCUCGUCGUGUCUUAAUUCAAGAUAGCUCAUGCACGAUAUUUGCUAUAUUUGCUUCGGACAGUAGUUCUGGUCAUUGGAAGAGGUUCUAAUAUGCUCAUAUAAUUUUGCCCUUGUUGGAGCUCAAGCACCUUCUGCAAUGUAGAUUUUUCCAGCGUAUCCUCAUACAAAGAAAAGCUUGUGGGCAUGUCAUUGAAUAUCACUAUAGGGCUUCUGAUGGUGUGGUUUCCAUCUGUCCAUGCUAGUGAACCUGAGACAAUAGGCACUUGCACUAUUGGUGAUCCAACAAUUUUCAGUGUAAAUGAUUUCUUUUCUCCAACUUCAGUAAAUGUGAGAACUGUAGGUUCGACAACCACAGUAAAGGGUGGUGGCAGAAAGGCUUCAUAAAUGUAAGUAGAGUUUGGAGAUCCCACAUUCGUUACAGUUCUUGUGUAUGUAGCACUCACUUCUUCUCCAUCUAAUAAAGAGAGAGCGAAUGACGGGUAAUUUAAAUCCCAUGUUUUGCUGGCAGUGGAGCAGUUGCUAGCAUCACCAGAGAUGAGUCUUAUCGUACUGAUGUUGUAACCUUCACCGCAUAAGAAAUUUAUGUAAUCUGCUUCUGAUGCGUCAAAGACCAGACCAGGAUCAACUGCCUUCAUUGGGUCGAUUUGGCCAGAGCCAUAUGCAAAUUCUGCGUCAGGAUUCUUCCUCGAGUCCAUAAUGGUUGCUACAGAAAAUAUUUUUAAGACAUUUAUGAUGUACUACUGUGAAUAGCCGCAACAUACAGUAUGUUGCUUUACUCUUUUGGGUUUUCAGUAUGAAGGCUUACCUGUAGUCAUUAAGGCCGACUUAAUAGCGGCUGGAGACCAGUCUGGGUGGGAAGCCUUAACGUAUGCAGCAGCACCAGUAGCAUGGGGACAAGACAUGGAUGUUCCAGAAACUAUGUUGUAAUCAACACUUCUCUUGUCAAACCUAUAAACUGAAAAGAGUCCAAGGGGAGACCACGCCGCUAGGAUGUUUGCUCCUGGUGCUGUUAUGUCUGGCUGUUUGUGUUAUUUUAACAACAAAGGAUACUAGUUCAUUAGUGCAGCCUAUUGUGUGUCUCAGCAUUGUAUAUAAUCCAAAGAAGAAUUCAUAGCAUCUUGUUAGCAUCUAUUGUGUUGUUACCUUGAGGAUCUCUGGACUUAUAGGGUUCGGUCCUCUUGAUGAGAAUUUUGUGACAAGAGGAGCCAUGCUAUCUUCGAAUGCUUCAGUGUGAAGAAUCGUGGCAAUUGGUAUUCUGGAUUUUAAAUAAAAGAAGUUGAAGGCCAAACUAUUUCCAGGAAAUGAAAACGCAAUCUCAAGGUAUGAAAACGGCAUAAUUAUUCCCGCUGCUUUAGCCAGACGAGCUGUUCCUCCAUCAUUGGCAUAAUCACAAAGAACAAUUCCCCCUUCGGCUUUAUUACUAAGUGUACCCCACAAACACAUUUUUGAUUGCUCGGGGCCAGCCCCAAAAGUUACAUUGUUCGCGUCUCCAGAGUAUACUAGGGGAAAAGCAGUGGCAUUGGGAGUGAAACCAUUGAGUGAAGUUCCCUAAAAUGAGUUGUUCAAGUGAGGAUUUGAGAGAAAGAGAAAGAAAGGUAUGGUCAAUAAGUUAUUUAAAGCUUACAAAAAAGGUUUGUCCAUCUCCAAGCACCACUUUAGUAACAAAUUUUCUGUCGAUGGUGCUGGCUGCGACAGUAAGUGCCCAAGGGAAGUAAUUUGAGACUUGUUUCCGAAUAGGACCACUAUUUCCGGCUGCACAAGAAGUCAAGAUACCAUUUUUCAUAGCAUGGAAUGAUCCAAUAGAAAUUGAAUCUUGAUCGUAUGGUACUGGUUGAACACUUCCAAGCGAUACAGAUAGAAUGUCAACACCAUCGGCAAUUGCAUCAUCAAAGGCCGCUAAGAUGUCUGCAUCAGUACAGCCCGCGGCCCAGCAUACUUUAUACACUGCAAUCCUUGCAUUUGGAACUCCACCUCUUGCAAUGCCUUCACCAAUGCCAUAUAAGCUUGCGUUCUGCACUUCGCGGCCGGCCACAGUUGAUGCAGUGUGACUUCCAUGCCCAAGCGUGUCUCUUGGUGAGUUAAAGUCAGAGCGAGGGUCGGAAAUGUUUGCAAUGUCAUAGUAUCGUGCCCCAAUGACCUUGCUGCCAAAGCACAUCAACUUUAUUAACAUCCGAAUUAAGAAUGAGGUAAGUAGUUUAUUUUUGUGAGCUUCAGUUCUAUGUAAAAUUGUUGAGUUGAAGAUAAAGGGGGUGUACUUGUUGCAUGUAAAAUUAUUUGAUUGGCAAGUUCCUUUCCAUUUUGAAGGAGGCGCACCAAAACUUUCAUCUUCAAAACUCUUGCUUUCUGGCCAAAUACCUGGUGAAAAAUGCCAAAUUAAGUUAACUUAGUAUUGCAAAAAAUACGAACCAACUCUUCUUCUGGUAGCAUGAUCACCUGUAUCAAGCAUCCCCACAAUCACACUUCCGUCAGUGGGCUUAAUAGGCUGGGAUCUAGGGACACCCAAGAAAUCCCAUGAUCUUGUUGUUUGAAUCUGGAGCUUCCUAUUAGGAAAGACAGAAACCACUCCCUUCGUAGCUAAUUAUGGUUACAGGUAUACACAAGAAUUUAGUAGAGAAUACAGAUGGAUGCUGGUUAUAAAUUUAGCUAUUAAGUAAUCAUCACACCUCUGAGCUUUACUACCUCAGCAUUUGCAAGUUUGGCUACGAAUCCAUUCAAACUCCUCUGGUAACUGUAUACUAGUGCUUCCUGGGCCAAAGAAUGGCUGCACUACACGUAGAAGUUAGAAGUUACAAAACUAAAACAGACAGGAUGCUGUAGAGCAACUGCAAUGCAAACCGCUAUAUACUUCAGAUUCUACCCCUUUUUCAGGACAGUAUGUUGGUUGUUUUUCUUCUCAAUUGUUUAUUGAUUAUAUAUCAACAACAUUGAAGUGCUUAAGUAUGCUCAUUAUAUAUUAUACUGUGGAAUCAGACCUUCCUAAGAUGUCGUGGAGGAUGUUGUAGUGCGUAGCUUGAAGAGAAUCAUCUCCCUCCGGAAGAUCUCCCAUGUAUACAAUAUGAACCUACAGAUACAGAGUCAGCUUAGAAUACAAUGAAUGCAAAGUUGAUGCACUUGCCAAGACUGAACUGAAAAAAGUGAGCACAGAAGGAUGAUCUUCAAGAAGAACCUUCUUCUCUUCAUGGCAAUUGCUCACAAAAGCUGAAAGACAAACGAGACAAAGAAAAUAAAGAGACCGUGCCCAGACCAUUUUGGUUUUCAGUCUGGUUUAAUGAUUAAUCAACUAACAUGAUCACAGCUUGAUGAUAUUUAUAUGCAGAUUGCAAGCAGCCGCAUAUUAGGGAGAUUAUUCAUAAGUUCUAAUUUGUUUUUAGUGUAGCGUCUCUUACCUCGUAUCCGGCGACCACAACAUAGAGGCUAUGCAACACCAAAGAUUCUAUCUGGUUUGACAGACAGCAUCUCUUUGGGGGCUCCACCACCUCAGACAUGGGUGUCAUUUAACUGAAGGAAAUUGUUGGAACUUGGAACCGAACUAUCGGAUCAACUAAAAAUAUCAAAGUCUGUGUUUUUAUUUUAGUUUUAACUGUUUUGUUUAAAAAUUUACAGUUGUCAAAUAACUUUUUAAAACUUUCUAUACAGUUGGAUGAUUUUGUUCAUCUUUAUUGCACUAAGGCAGGUGCGCUGUUGGUCAGAUAUUUGGACGUGACAUUGAUGAAAGUACUGAUCUUAGAGAUUGGAAUAUAGUUCAUAUAUCUUUGUAGUGUCGAUCCAAAUUAUAGUCUAUACAAGAGUCAAGCAACUAUCAAGACUCUUCCAUGGAGCCUCUUUUUUCAGAAGAGACAGUAUUUUACAGUCCAAGAAAUUAUCAUAUGGCUGAGGAGAAUCUCCCGUUCCUUUCUAAUGUCUCACUCGGUUAUAUUUCUUACGAUUUUGUUAUGGUAAAAUGGUGCAAGUGUUGUUUGUCCCUUGCAGUCGUUGCUGUGCUUUCUACUAUGCUUUCAGUUGUUUUAGCUCCUUCCCCAUUGUCUUUUGUAGUUCUACAUUUUUAUUGGUUUCUUUUAGAAAUUGGGUUGGCCGGGUACUUCUGAUUGAACGAUUUAGUUUGUUAUGUAGGCUGCACCGUCUGAAAGGAUGUCUCUCCUUCAUAUUCAUGGGGGGCGAUGGGGCAAUGUGUAUGCUGCAUGAAGCAUGGAAGAUAAUGAAGGGUAUAAAGUAUGUCUUCUGUCAGAUGUAGCCUUCGCUUGAUGUUCAUUAUCUUCUGCUGGUAGAUUGGAAUCUGUUGAAGUGAGAAAGCUUGUAGGCAUGUCGUUGAAAAUCACUAUCGGGCUUCUGAUGGUGUAGUUCCCAUCUGUCCACACCAGUGAGCCUGAAACAAUUGGCACUUGCACCAUUGGCGGUCCAACAAUAUUCAACGUAAAUGAUUUCUUCUCUCCAACUUCAGUAAAUGUUAACACUUCAGGUUCAACAGUCACAUUAAAGGAUGGUGGCAAAAAGGCUUCAUAACUGUAAGUAGAAUUUGGACAUCCCACAUUGGUAACAGUCCUUGUGUAUGAGGCACUCACUUCUUCUCCAUCUAAUAAAGAGAGAGCGAAAGAUGGGUAAUUCAAGUCCCAUGUUUUGCCAGGUGUUGAGCAAUUGCUAGAAUCACCAGAGAUGAGUCUUACUAGACUGGUGUUGUAACCUUCAUUGCAUAAGAAAUCUACAUAAUCUGAUUCUGAUGCAUCAAACACAAGACCAGGAUCAACGGCCUUCAUUGGGUUAAUUUGGCCAGAACCGUAUGCAAAUUCCGCAUCAGCAUUCUUCCUUGGGUCCAUAAUGGUUGCUACAAAAAAUGAAAUUAAUAAAGACCUCUUUAGCAUAUGUACUGCUGCAAACUCAUGCAUGGAUAUAUGAACAGACAGCAUGAUUUACUAUUAUUUGCGGUUUGGGGCGAUGGUGGCUUACCUGUAGUCAUUAAGGCCGACUUGAUUGCUGCUGGAGACCAGUCCGGGUGGGAAGCCUUAACGUAUGCAGCAGCGCCAGUAGCAUGGGGACAAGCCAUGGAUGUUCCAGAAAUUAUGUUGUAAUCAACUCUCCUACUAUCAAAUAUAUCUAAUGAAGCGAGUGCAAGAGGAGACCAUGCCGCAAGAAUGUUAGCCCCAGGUGCUGUUAUGUCGGGCUGUUUUUGUUUGUUUUCAACAAAGCAUACCAGUUACCAAAAAUGCACCCUACUGACAAAAUAGAUUAUCUGCUGGCAAAUGAUACUUUUUAACUCACCUUGAGGAUUUCUGGACUGAUAGGGUUUGGUCCUCUUGAUGAAAAUGCCGCGACAAGAGGAGCCAUGACAUCUUUGAAUUCUUCAGUGUGGAGAAUUGUAGCAAUUGGUGUUCUAGAAAUCAAAUUAAAGAGAUAUUAAGGCCAUAUUUUUUCUAUCUAACCAAAGAAAUUAUCUUAUCAUGUUACUUGAAGUUUGGUGAUAUUUACUCUGUAGUCCUUAUGUAAUCAAAUAACUUGGCGUGAUCUUCAUAACUGAUCAAAACUGCUGGUACAGAAAAAGCGAACGCAGUCUCAAAGUAUGAAAUUGGCAUGAUAAUACCCGCUGCACCAGCCAUGCGAGCUGCUGCACCAUCAUAGGUAACAUCACAGAGAACGAUUCCCCCUUCGGCUUUACUACUAAGAGUACCCCACAAACACAGCUUUGACAUCUCCGGGCCAACCCCAAAAGUUACAUUGUUCACGUCUCCAGAAUAUACCAAUGGAAACGCGGUGGCAUUGGGAGUGAAACCAUUGAGUGAAGUCCCC